GUUCAAAUUCAUCUCCGAGGAAACAAAUCAAACAAUCAUAACGUUUCUUUCGAAUACAAGAGAGAUGAAAGCAGAAGCAGAAACAGAGUCUUCCACAACGUUUCUUCUCCUCUGAGAACACGAGAAAGAGAGAUCGUACCAGAAACAGAGUCAAAUCUCUCAACGUUUCUUUCUUGUGCGUUUUCUCAGUGUAAAACUCAAGUGACCAACGCAGCCAAACAUAUCAGCAAAGUCCGAAAUCGAUUUAGUGGUCCGAUUGGGAAAGAACGGAUCAAAAUUUGCGAAAGAAACUACGGAUUAGCGUCAGGUUUGUUCCAAGAAGCUUAUGAAACUGGACAACAAAAAGUGCUUGCAUACAGAGCUCACUUAGCUGCACAAGGUGGUGUGGAAUAUGUGCGCCAGUGUGAAGAUGAAUGGAAAAAGAAUGGUCCAAUACAAAAGUCUCCUGUCACUUUUUAUAACACAAAUGUUGUUAAAUUAUUUUCUAUAAUUCGUCUUAUUGUCACCAAGCAUAAGACUUAAUUUGUAGAAACGCAAAAUUCGAUUUAGUUAAAGCUUGGUUUAGUUUUACUCA